AGGAUAAACGCUGGCGGCGUGCCUAACACAUGCAAGUCGAACGCACUCAGCAAUGAGUGAGUGGCGGACGGGUGAGUAACACGUGGGUGCAUCUACCUUUCGGUGAGGAAUACCGGCGAGAAAUCGCCGACAAUACCGCAUACGUUUCGGCAAUGAAACAAAGUCGCAAGACGCCGGGGGAGGAGCCUGCGCCCGAUUAGCUAGUUGGUGGAGUAAAAGUUCACCAAGGCGACGAUCGGUAGCUGGUCUGAGAGGAUGAUCAGCCACACUGGGAUUGAGAACGGCCCAGACUCCUACGGGGGGCAGCAGUGAGGAAUUUUCGUCAAGUGGGGGCAACCCGUGAACGAGCAACGCCGCGUGCAGGAUGACACUUUUCGGAGCGUAAACUGCUUUUCUCGGGGACGAGUAAGGACGGUACCCGAGGAAUCGAGCCCCGGCUAACCUACGCGCCAGCAGCCGC
rnacentral:rRNA from 1 species